rnacentral:rRNA from 1 species
GACGAACCGUGCAAACGUUGUUCGGAAUCACUGGGCUUAAAGGGCGCGUAGGCGGGUCAUCAAGUCCGGGGUGAAAGCCCACGGCCCAACCGUGGAAGUGCCUUGGAUACUGAAGACCUCGAGGGGGAUAGGGGCGUGCGGAACUCAGGGUGGAGCGGUGAAAUGCGUAGAUAUCCUGAGGAACACCGGUGGCGAAAGCGGCGCGCUGGAUCCCUUCUGACGCUGAGGCGCGAAAGCCAGGGGAGCAAACGGG